rnacentral:rRNA from 1 species
UACGGAGGGUGCAAGCGUUGUCCGGAUUUAUUGGGUUUAAAGGGUGCGUAGGCGGCUUAGUAAGUCCGUGGUGAAAGCCAACAGCUCAACUGUUGAACUGCCAUGGAUACUGUUAGGCUUGAGUACAGACGAGGUAGGCGGAAUGGAUGCUGUAGCGGUGAAAUGCAUAGAUAGCAUCCAGAACCCCGAUUGCGUAGGCAGCUUACUAGGCUGUAACUGACGCUGAGGCACGAAAGCGUGGGGAGCAAACAGG